GCGUGUUAAAUCAUAUAUUUCACUGAAAGAAUUUGAUGAAUCUGUAUAUUUUGCUCAGCUAUGAAGGCAGCAAGAAAAAAAAAUGCCCUCAUUUCCAGCUUUGAUUUUGCAGUUAUACUAGUGAAAACACAAAUUUCUUAUACAGAGAUUCUAAGGCCGCCACAUGGUUUUCUGGGCACAUAAUAUACCCUCCUUAUCUUGAGCAUAAGUCAUGCGAAUCUCCCAAUGCAAGCUUUUCAGUAUUCNNNNNNGGUGGAGAUACUAGAUCCACCUUCUCACGUAUAAUUGCCCACCCGCCAGGCCGCAAUAUUCUAUCCAUCUCCACCACAAUUGAUACUGGAUGCUUACACCUGUU
rnacentral:misc_RNA from 1 species